rnacentral:lncRNA from 1 species
CUUUACUUAAUUUUAUUUUAUUUCAUGCAUUGUUGGUACAAGGCAUUUUUUCUUUCCCCCAUCCUCCCUUCCUCCUUCCUCUAUUUUUUUGCUUCUCCCCCGCUCACCCCCAUCUCUAAUAUCAUUUUCACCCACCCACAGAGACGCUAUGUGUUUGUAAUUUUCUUCCGACCCUAAUGGCUCCGGUUUCCCCUCAGUAUUUAAGCGGAACAAGACAGAGGGAAGGCCCCAGGGAGCCGCCUCUUCAUCCACUCACAGGGCACUCCCUCCUCAGCUGGAACCUGGACCCUGGCUCAACCUGAAUUCCUUGGCCUCCACUGGUUUCUCUCUGGAGAUGCAUUUUCAACCUAGUCCUUCCUCCUGCUCUCUUUCCCACUCUGUAUCUCUGGAGUUACUGACUCCUGCACCCAUGCUGAAUGCAAUCCUCUUUUAUUGCUUAGGAAGUCUUGCACACGUACUGAAGCAUCUAAUCCUCCCCACAACCCUCAGAGGUGAGUACUGUGCUGAUACCCAUUUUAUAGAUGAGGAAACUGGAGUGCAAAGCGGUCAAAACAUCUGAAGCGACAUGUCCUUAAGUUGCUGAGCCAGAAAUGGAACCCACUCAUUGUGGCCUUACCCCUCAGCAAAACGCACUUUGCUCUGCCUACAUUGCCCUACUCACCCACAGCC